ACCGUGAAACUGCGAAUGGCUCAUUAAAUCAGUUAUCGUUUAUUUGAUAGUACCUUACUACUUGGAUAACCGUGGUAAUUCUAGAGCUAAUACAUGCUAAAAACCCCGACUUCGGGAGGGGUGUAUUUAUUAGAUAAAAAACCAAUGCCCUUCGGGGCUCUUUGGUGAUUCAUAAUAACUUAACGGAUCGCAUGGCCUUGCGCCGGCGACGGUUCAUUCAAAUUUCUGCCCUAUCAACUUUCGAUGGUAAGGUAUUGGCUUACCAUGGUUUCAACGGGUAACGGGGAAUUAGGGUUCGAUUCCGGAGAGGGAGCCUGAGAAACGGCUACCACAUCCAAGGAAGGCAGCAGGCGCGCAAAUUACCCAAUCCCGACACGGGGAGGUAGUGACAAUAAAUACUGAUACAGGGCUCUUUUGGGUCUUGUAAUCGGAAUGAGUACAAUUUAAACCCCUUAACGAGGAACAAUUGGAGGGCAAGUCUGGUGCCAGCAGCCGCGGUAAUUCCAGCUCCAAUAGCGUAUAUUAAAGUUGUUGCAGUUAAAAAGCUCGUAGUUGAACCUUGGGCCUGGCUGGCCGGUCCGCCUCACCGCGUGUACUGGUCCGGCCGGGCCUUUCCUUCUGGUGAGCCCCAUGCCCUUCACUGGGUGUGUGGGGGAACCAGGACUUUUACUGUGAACAAAUUAGAGUGUUCAAAGCAGGCCUUUGCUCGAAUACAUUAGCAUGGAAUAAUGGAAUAGGACGUGCGGUCCUAUUUUGUUGGUUUCUAGGACCGCCGUAAUGAUUAAUAGGGAUAGUCGGGGGCAUCAGUAUUCAAUUGUCAGAGGUGAAAUUCUUGGAUUUAUUGAAGACUAACUACUGCGAAAGCAUUUGCCAAGGAUGUUUUCAUUAAUCAGUGAACGAAAGUUAGGGGAUCGAAGACGAUCAGAUACCGUCGUAGUCUUAACCGUAAACUAUGCCGACUAGGGAUCGGGCGAUGUUUCUAUCUUGACUCGCUCGGCACCUUACGAGAAAUC
rnacentral:rRNA from 1 species